GCAGUCGAAAAUCACUCGAGGUCUCUUGUGGCCCCUGGUGAGAUAACUGUGCCGACAGUAUAGGGAACAUUAAGCUUAUUCCCCACAGUACCUUGUGGGGAGUGAAACCCAUGUUCCUAUAACU
ensembl:snoRNA